rnacentral:tRNA from 32 species
CUACCCCCAGGGGAAGUCGAAUCCCCGUUGCCUCCUUG